rnacentral:tRNA from 1 species
CGCAGGGUAGGGCAGCGGCAGCCCGUCGGGGUCAUGUCCCGAAGGUCGCGGGUUCAAGUCCCGCCCCUGCAACCG